CGAGGAAAUGGUCUGGGGAAUUUCGAGGAGCGGAGGAGCUGUGGGAAGAGUAGUCGUGAUAAUUGUGACGGGGAGCAAGGGAUUAGGAGUUCUUGGAACGUUGAGCUGAUGGCCAACCAGAAGCGGCAGUGGUAUCAGAUCCAAUCCCAAGCAAAGGAUCAUAAACAACAUAAGGAACCCACAUCGCUAUUUGAACACUUCUUUAUUGUGGGCCUUUCCUCAUAUGCGAAUGUUGAAGCUGUAGAGGAUGCAUUUGCAAGGAGAAAGACUUGGGAGUCAGAGGUUGCCAAAUCUGAAAUCCUAGAUCUUAGGAAGAUUCAACGCCAAGCACGUAUGCCUACUCUGGAACCUCAGAUCCUUUUCAAGUACCCUCCUGGAAAGCAAGUGGCAAUGAGGGAGAGUGAUGUACCUAUUUUUUGCUUCCCUGAAGGUGUUAAGGCCCGAAUGCUGGAGAGAACUCCAUCUAUGAGUGAUCUGAAUGAACUGGUGUUUGGACAGGAGCAUUUGGCACAUGAUGAUUCAUCAUUUGUCUUUCGUUUGAAGGUAGCAGACAGUACAACUCUGUAUGGUGUUUGCCUACAUGUUCAGGAGAUAGUUCAGAGAGCACCUGGUAUUUUAGGUGCCAUUUCGCCCCUUAAUCCUUCUUGCAAGUCAGGCCGCUUCUUGGUUUCUGCACCACGUUGUUAUUGCAUGCUUACGAAAGUGCCAUUUUUUGAGCUACACUUCGAGAUGUUAAAUAGCAUAACUGCACAGGAGCGACUGGAUAGGAUAACACAAUUUGUCAGUGAAAUGGCUCUAACAGAGUCAAUUCCUUUCGUGGGCACAGAGCAAGAUCAACUUGAUGAGAACUUUGAGUCUCCAAACGGACAAUUCUGUAAUAGUUGGAUGGGAUAUGCAAUACCAGCUGGUAGUAUACUGGGUCUUACUUCACCUUCAAUUGGCCUUCCUUCCGACAGAGAAGUUCCGCCAUUUUUGUUCAGGCAAUUGGAACCUCACUCACCUGAAAGUGCUGCUAGUGAAUGUUCAGAUUUCAGUCAUGUACGGGAGCUGGACAGGGAAUCCAGAAAGUCUUGGGGUCACUUCGAUGAUCAUUCAUCUGUAACCUCUGGCUCUCGCUCUGAUAGUUUUGACAGAACUAAUGGAAGCCUCGACACUGGUCAAACAUCACCAGAGAAUAGCACAACUUAUAGUUGUGUAAACUGUGGAUUGCUGCAUGUAGAAAGUAUAGUCUCUGUGUACAGUUCAGUUAGAGGCACAGGAUCAGAGGAGGAAGAUGAUGAUUUGUGUUACAAACACGAUAUUGCUGGUGAUGAAAAAGUGAUGGAAUGGGCUAAGUUACACAAUAACGAACCGUUGCAAAUUGUUUGCGGAUAUCACACUCUUCCUGUGCCGCCUCGGGGACGUGAAAUCAUUUUUCACCCUCUGGAGCAUUUACAGCCAAUCAAGUAUUUUAGACCUAAUAUAACUUCUUUGGGCUUGGACAAUGUUUCUCAGAUUGAUAUAUCUUUUCCUACAGAAGUUAAUGAGGUUAAUGCACGAUUAGCAGCUGCAGAAGAAGGUCUUGCAUUAUCAAUAUGGACGGUGGCUACGGUUUGCCGUGUUCUAUCUCUAGAAAGUGUUUUGACACUAAUUGCGGGAGCAUUAUUGGAAAAACAAGUGGUAGUCAUAUGCCCAAAUUUGGGUGUUUUAUCUGCAAUUGUCCUAUCGGUUAUACCCAUCAUUCGUCCAUUCGAGUGGCAGAGUUUGUUCCUUCCAGUUCUACCAAGAAGAUUGUUUGACUUUCUUGAUGCUCCAGUACCAUUCAUUGUAGGAAUUCAGAAUAAGCCAACCGAAAUGAAGAAAACACCCAAUCUUAUUCAAGUUAACGUAUACAAAGACCAGGUGAAAGCUUGUCCAUUGCCUCAACUUCCUCGACAUAAGGAACUUGUCUCUCAAUUAGGUCCUAUUCAUGCCAGACUUUCAUGUGAAAAUUUUAUAGCUAAACGGCAUCCUAUUUACAAAUGCAGUGAAAUUCAGUGGUCAAUUGCAGGCAGAAGCAGCUGGAGAUUUUUUGAAUGUCAUGAAACACUACUUGGAAUCACUUUGUUCAAACUUGCGAUCUCAUACCAUCACUAAUGUGCAAUCAAACAAUGACAAGGUCUCACUUCUUCUAAAAGACAGUUUUGUUGGCUCAUUUCCUGUCAGCGAUCGACCAUUCAUCAAGCUUCUCGUGGAGACACAACAAUUCUCAGUCUUGUCGGACUCCCAGCUUUCGACCUAUGAGAAUGAGCCAUUUUAGCUCGGUGAACACAUGCAAGUGAAGGACAUGAUACAUGGCUCUCUUGAGAGCCACAAGUCUUUUCGCAUAUGAACUAAAGAGCCGAGACCAUCAAUGCCCAGCACUGAACAGCCUUCUUUUGGUAAAAGAGAAGAAUGCUUGACGGAACACUAAAAUACGAAUCCAUUGUUAUAACACGGGCAGGUGUCAAAAUGGACGCCCAACUUCUUGGGCAAAUUGAAGUGUGCAGUGCAUCCCAGUUUUUUGAAUGGGAUGUUGCUAACUGGAAAGGUUAUGCAUCCCCAUACCUAAUUGUUGUAUAUCUGUAAGCAAUAAGCACAGCUGGGGUUUUGUGUUCCGAGCUGUUUGUUUCUCUUUCUUUCCUCCCUUAUUGGAUAUACAAAAUAAAUCGAGUUUCAUAUGAGAGAGCAGUUCGUAAGGUUCGACGGUUUGAGAUUGUUCUUGAUGUACCUUAUGAAUGUAUUGUGUGCCGCAUGAAUGUA